CCUCAGAGAUUUUCAUUCCGGGGUUUCAAGGUAGACCACUGAAGCCAGCCAGUGGUCCUGAGGUGUGAGGUGUCGGAGGUGAGCGGUGACCCUGUGACCCUGGCCUGGAUGAGGAUGGAGGAGAGCAGGGGGCUGCUGGUCAAACAGGACGUCCUGCCAACAGGACGCUCAGUGUGACCCUGCCCAGCCUCCGUAGAGACCAGCUGCACUGGCAGUGUGUGGUGUUCACAGAGGGCAUUCUUAGGGCUACAGCCUCCCUGACCCUCACAAUGCCCGCCGAAAUAGGUUGGUGUGUGCCGUUGCUGUGAUCCUGAUGAGAUCUGGUGAUUUCCACAGGAGGGGGAUCAGCUGCAGCUGCAGUUAUGACAGACCUACCACUGACUGAGAUGAUCCAAAGAGA